UGACUGCUAUCGGAUUGAUACUAAGCCAUGCGAGUCAUUGUAGUAAUACAAGGCAGACGGCUCAGUAACGCGUAGUCACCUAACCUAUGGACGGGAAUAACCUCGGGAAACUGAGUAUAAUGCCCGAUAGAACAUUAUGCCUGGAAUGGUUUAUGUUCCAAAUGAUUUAUCGCCGUAGGAUGGGACUGCGGCCUAUCAGUUUGUUGGUGAGGUAAUGGCCCACCAAGACUAUUACAGGUACGGGCUCUGAGAGGAGUAGCCCGGAGAUGGGUACUGAGACACGGACCCAGGCCCUAUGGGGCGCAGCAGGCGAGAAAACUUUGCAAUGUGCGAAAGCACGACAAGGUUAAUCCGAGUGGUUUCUGCUAAAGGAACCUUUUGACAGUCCUAGAAACACUGUUGAAUAAGGGGUGGGCAAGUUCUGGUGUCAGCCGCCGCGGUAAAACCAGCACCUCAAGUGGUCAGGAUGAUUAUUGGGCCUAAAGCAUCCGUAGCCGGCUCUGUAAGUUUUCGGUUAAAUCUGUACGCUCAACGUACAGGCUGCCGGGAAUACUGCAGAGCUAGGGAGUGGGAGAGGUAGACGGUACUCGGUAGGAAGGGGGUAAAAUCCUUUUGAUCUAUUGAUGACCACCUGUGGCGAAGGCGGUCUACCAGAACACGUCCCGACGGUGAGGAGAUGAAAGCUGGGGGAGCAAAACCGGGAUUAA
rnacentral:rRNA from 1 species